rnacentral:rRNA from 1 species
CAGUAGCCGCGGGAAUACGUAGGGUGCAAGCGUUAAUCGGAAUUACUGGGCGUAAAGCGUGCGCAGGCGGUGUUGUAAGACUGAUGUGAAAUCCCCGGGCUCAACCUGGGAACUGCAUUUGUGACUGUAUAGCUAGAGUACGGCAGAGGGGGAUGGAAUUCCGCGUGUAGCAGUGAAAUGCGUAGAUAUGCGGAGGAACACCGAUGGCGAAGGCAAUCCCCUGGGCCUGUACUGACGCUCAUGCACGAAAGCGUGGGGAGCAAACAGGAUUAGAUACCCCUGUAGUCCCUGUCUCUUUACA